AUUGAACGCUGGCGGCAGGCCUAACACAUGCAAGUCGAGCGGAGCGGCGGACGGGUGAGUAAUGCCUAGGAAUCUGCCUGGUAGUGGGGGCUAACGUCCGGAAACGGGCGCCAAUACCGCAUACGAUCAGUUGAGCCUAGGUCGGAUUUGCUGGUUGGUGGGGUAAAGGCCUACCAGGGCGAAGAUCCGUAACUGGUCUGAGAGGAUGAUCAUUCACGCUGGAACUGAUACCCGGUCCAGACUCCUACGGGAGGCAGCAGUGGGAAAUCUUGGACAAUGGGCGAAAGCCUGAUCCAGCCAUGCCGCGUGUGUGAGGAAGGUCUUCGGAUUGUAAAGCACUUUAAGUUGGGAGGCGUUACCAACAGAAUAAGCACCGGCUAACUUCGUGCCAGCAGCCGCGGUAAUAC
rnacentral:rRNA from 1 species